GACGAACGCUGGCGGCGUGCUUAACACAUGCAAGUCGAACGAAGAGCGAUGGAAGCUUGCUUCCAUCAAUCUUAGUGGCGAACGGGUGAGUAACGCGUAAUCAACCUGCCCUUCAGAGGGGGACAACAGUUGGAAACGACUGCUAAUACCGCAUACGAUCUAACCUUGGCAUCGAGGAUGGAUGAAAGGUGGCCUCUAUUUAUAAGCUAUCACUGAAGGCGGGGAUUGCGUCUGAUUAGCUAGUUGGAGGGGUAACGGCCCACCAAGGCGAUGAUCAGUAGCCGGUCUGAGAGGAUGAACGGCCACAUUGGGACUGAGACACGGCCCAGACUCCUACGGGAGGCAGCAGUGGGGAAUCUUCCGCAAUGGACGAAAGUCUGACGGAGCAACGCCGCGUGAGUGAUGACGGCCUUCGGGUUGUAAAGCUCUGUUAAUCGGGACGAAAGGCCUUCUUGCGAAUAGUUAGAAGGAUUGACGGUACCGGAAUAGAAAGCCACGGCUAACUACGUG
rnacentral:rRNA from 1 species